UCUUCAUUUCACACAUUCUCUCACCGGUCAGAGUGACGAGAGAGUGAGUGAAAUGAAGAGC
rnacentral:pre_miRNA from 1 species